rnacentral:rRNA from 1 species
CCUACGGGGCGCAGCAGUGGGGAAUAUUGCACAAUGGGGGAAACCCUGAUGCAGCAAUGCCGCGUGGGUGAAGAAGCACUCCGGUGCGUAAAGCCCUGUCAGCAGGGAAGAAAAUGACAGUACCUGACCAAGAAGCCCCGGCUAACUACGUGCCAGCAGCCGCGGUAAUACGUAGGGGGCAAGCGUUAUCCGGAUUUACUGGGUGUAAAGGGAGCGCAGGCGGUAUGGCAAGUCAGAUGUGAAAACCCAGGGCUCAACCCUGGGACUGCAUUUGAAACUGCCAUACUGGAGUGCCGGAGAGGUAA